rnacentral:rRNA from 1 species
UACGUAGGGGGCAAGCGUUGUCCGGAUUUAUUGGGCGUAAAGAGCGUGUAGGCGGUUUGGUAGGUCCGUUGUGAAAACUCGAGGCUCAACCUCGAGACGCCGGCGGAAACCAUCAGGCUAGAGUCCGGAAGAGGAGAGUGGAAUUCCUGGUGUAGCGGUGAAAUGCGCAGAUAUCAGGAAGAACACCCGUGGCUAAGGCGGCUCUCUAGUACGGUACUGACGCUGAGACGCGAAAAGCGUGGGGAGCGAACAGG